CCAGCCUCUUAUAUCACAAGGUAUCAUGAAGAAAACCAGCAAUACGAGCCUUCUCCUGAAUGAGCCACCAAGGAUGGACAGGAUGGAGAUCAGCAGAAGAAUAUUAGACCUCACCUUGGAGAUCAUCUCCCUGCUGAGCGGAGAGGAGUACACAAUAGUGAAAAAGACAUUGGG